GUGUUGAUAAUUCAAGAGUCAGUGGGUUCAUCGGAUGUAGAUUUGAUAAUUCAAGAUUCAAUGGGUCACUGGAUGUAGACUUGUAUUUAGUAGUUAAGGAUAGUGAGAUGGGUCAAGCUACUCUGUGACUAAGCAAAUUUGUACUUCUACUGGGUAUUUAGUGGCUUUGUUUAGAAAGGGUUCCCACUAGGACACAAUCUUGGCCAGUUCAAAAUCUCUCCCUCCCAUCGGGAGAUGAUCCUUAUUAUAGAACUAUAGAACCAACGUAGGUCAGAUACAUGUAAAGUUCCCGCAAGUGGGCUGUCUUACUCAAGGAUAGUUGUCUUCUGGGCAAAUCAAAGGCCCUGUUGUUUUGACAAUCCUAAUGCAUUAAACCGAUGAUGACCAAUUAGUAAGUCAGCUCGGCAUGUUGUCCAUCCGACCUAUUUACACUGGGUAUAAGCACUCGACGGCUCAUUAAUAUAGGUGUUUUAUUUCUAACUAGUCGAAAUGCCGGCGAACUAGGAAUUGGGUUGCAUUCUAAUUUUCUGUUGUAUCUUUUGGGUUGGUAUUAGCUUUUAUGAUUUCGGUGACUUAAGUGUGUUGGCAUGACAUGAUUGACUCUGGAGAUCUGUCAAGCCCAUAAUCUGACCACUUUCACGGCUUAUGACUUCGAGGAACUCAGUGGAUAAGGUAUUCAGGCUCUCCGACCUCUUUCUGGCAAAGUUUCAGGUACUUUAACACCCUUGUUCUUGGGCCGAGUGCCUUUCAACAUCUUACUCAAAGGGCUCACGUAUUGCCUGUUCAAGCGCUCGCUUAUAUUUUGGUAUAUUAGCCAAUGAUUUCUUCAGUGCAGUUUAAGAUCUCGCCUGCCACAGGCGAGUUGCAACUUUAAUUCGGUAUUUGGUCUAAAUAAGUAGCUCGAGCCCUUUAUGACUUAGCUUGGGCGAUGAGGUUGGGCUAUCAGUAAUCGAGGUGCCGAAUCCUUUCUUCGCUUUUAUUCCGAUAGUUUUAAGGGAUCUAUAUAUGCAUAUUCUAUUAUAGAUGUUUGACAUGUGUUGCUUGCUCCGAGACCUACUCUGAUCAUAAUGUAUCACAUUCUAAUCGUGAUUUUGUUAUUUGGUUUGCUGGGAGGUUUUAGGCUGCCUGUCCCCAGGGCCUUUCUCAAUUGAAGGAUCUAGGCUAUACAAUUAUCUCCUGGUGACCACUUCAGCGACCCCUUUUAAUGUUCCGCUAGGUGAUCCGACUGGUUUUCGUGGAGUGUUUUAGGGUAGAUUCUGUGAAUCUCCUUCUAUUAGGAUAAGACCAAAUAUAGCCCUAGGAUAUACUUAUGGUGGUUACGAAUGCCUAUUGGGUCCUAAGGACCCUAUGACCCCUUUCUUAAUCAUAUGUGCAUAUGUCAUCAUAUACACUGAUCUCAUGGACGGCGUGGGUACGAGUGUUUCAUGUGCUUAUACGUGUCAUUUAUUCAUUGGCCGACUUAUUUAAUGUUUAUAAUGAGCUUUAUUCCAUUUUUAUAAUAUGUUUAUUAGUGAUAAUAUGGUUAUGGUUUCAUCCUUGCAGAAAAAUUGAAUUUUCUUUCGCUGUUUCUCAGAUAUUUUAAGGGUCCUGAGCUU
rnacentral:misc_RNA from 1 species